rnacentral:sRNA from 1 species
AUGUACCACGCGUACACCUUGGUUCCUCGUUACUGCCCGCACCCGCCUGACGACUGCUCGGCUGCCAACC